ensembl:lncRNA
CAAAAAAAAACGCCUUACUAUACUAUGUCAAAAAAAAUGGGAUUUUUCAAACAUGUUGUAAAAAUGUGCCAUAUGAAGAAAUAAUGUAAAGGAGGCCGUGAAAAACACUCCAGAAAGGUUUUCUUUUAAAAAAAAAUCAUCAUGAAUUUUUGCGCAAAAAAACGCCUUACUAUACUAUGUCGAAAAAAAUGCAAUUUUUCAAACAUGUUUUAAAAACGUGUCAUAUGAUGAAAUAAUGUAAAGGACGCCAUGAAAAACACUCCAGAAAGGUUUUCUUUGAAAAAAAAAAAUCAGAAUGAAUUUUGGCGCAAAAAAACGCCUUACUAUACUAUGUCGAAAGAAAAUGGGAUUUUUCAAACAUGUUGUAAAAACGUGCCAUAUGAUGAAAUAAUGUAAAGGAGGCCGUGAAAAACACUCCAGAAAGGUUUUCUUUGAAAAAAAAAUCAUCAUGAAUUUUGGCGCAAAAAAAACGCCUUACUAUACUAUGUCGAAAAAAAAUGGGAUUUUUCAAACAUGUUGUAAAAACGUGCCAUAUGAUGAAAUAAUGUAAAGGAGGGCGUGAAAAACACUCCAGAAAGGUUUUCUUUCAAAAAAAAAUCAGCAUGAAUUUUGGCGCAAAAAUAACCGCCGUACUAUACUAUGUUAAAAAAAAAUGCGAUUUUUCAAACAUGUUGUAAAAACGUGUCAUAUGAUGAAAUAAUGUAAAGGAGGCCGUGAAAAACACUCCAGAAAGGUUUUCUUUGAAAAAAAAAAUCAGUAUGAAUUUUGGCGCAAAAAAACGCCUUACUAUACUAUGUCGAAAGAAAAUGGGAUUUUUCAAACAUGUUGUAAAAACGUGCCAUAUGAUGAAAUAAUGUAAAGGAGGCCGUGAAAAACACUCCAGAAAGGUUUUCUUUGAAAAAAAAAUCAUCAUGAAUUUUGGCGCAAAAAAAACGCCUUACUAUACUAUGUCGAAAAAAAAUGCGAUUUUUCAAACAUGUUUUAAAAACGUGUCAUAUGAUGAAAUAAUGUAAAGGAGGCCGUGAAAAACACUCCAGAAAAGUUUUCUUUGCAAAAAAAAAUCUGCAUGAAUUUUGGCACAAAAAAAACGCCUUACUAUACUAUGUCAAAAAAAAUGGGAUUUUUCAAACAUGUUGUAAAAAUGUGCCAUAUGAAGAAAUAAUGUAAAGGAGGCCGUGAAAAACACUCCAGAAAGGUUU